AUGAACCAGGUAAAAAAAAAAAAACAACCCAGAAAAGUCUCAAAAAUUCACAUCCUUCUUCCUGAACAUCCUUCCCUCUCACCCAGGGAUUGCAAAGGAGCAUCUGAUGCCACUUUCCCCUCAGCUUUUCCAGCAAAAGCCACGGCUCAGAUUGUCAGAAAGUUUGCUUCCCCUCUCUUUGGUGCUGUUGUGAAAUUUCCUGAAACCAAAAGGAUUUGCAAAUGUUUUUUAACAGGAGCACUGGAGCAGCAGGUCCUGCAAGGUGGGAAUUUUGCAAUGGCAGCUGGUGGUGUAACUGCAUUAAAUUGGGAUAAAAUCAGAUUUCUGGAUGGCUACAUGCUCCUGGAAGAGCUCUGCUGGACAAUGCUGACCACCCAAACCAUAUUCCCAAUCCAAAUAUUUACAAUUGGCGGUGUAUGGAUUUUUUUCCCAACCUUUCCAAGCAGGGAAAAGUCCAAGGCCCAAGCACUUGGGGAGCAAAGUCCUCUCCCCUUCACAGCUGAAGUUGGAUCAAUAGAGAUGUUUUCACAUGAACAAAUAUUUUUGGGAAUUCUGCCACUGUUUCCUGGUGGAUUGAUUCUAUCCCUCAGAAUUAGCAAGGGAAAAGCCAUGUUUCCAUUGCCAGGAUAUGGUGGAGACACAUCAGAGUCAUGGAAUGGUUUGGGUUGGAAGGGACCUUCAAAUUCAUCCAGUUCCACCCCUUGCCAUGGGCAGGGACAUCUUCCACUGUCCCAGGUUGCUCCAAGCCUCAUCCAAGUUGGCCUUGGACAUUUCCAGGGAUCCAGGAGCAGCCACACUACUCUGGGAAUUCCAUCCCAGCCCCUCACCACCCUCACAGGGAAUAAUUCCUUCCCAGUAUCCCAUCUACCCCUGCCCUCUGGCAGUAGGAAGCCAUUCCCUGUGUCCUGUGACUCCAGGCCCUGUCCCAAGUCCCUCUCCAGCUCUCUUGGAGCCCCUUCAGGCACUGGAAAGGGCUCUGAGGUCUCCCUGGAGCCUUCUCUUCUCCAGGCUGGACAUUCCCAGCUCUCCCAGCCUGGCUCCAGAGCAGAGGGGCUCCAUCCUUUGGCGUCCUACAGAUCUGCUCCAGCAGCUCCAGGUCUUCUGCUGUUGGAGACCCUGGAGCUGCAUCCUGUGAGUCCCUGUGGUCACCUCCUCACUCAGUAA
rnacentral:lncRNA from 1 species